GUGAGGAAUAUUGGUCAAUGGACGGAAGUCUGAACCAGCCAUGCCGCGUGCAGGAAUAAGGUCCUAUGGAUUGUAAACUGCUUUUAUUCGGGAAUAAACCUCUUUACGUGUAGGGAGCUGAAGGUACCGAAGGAAUAAGCACCGGCUAACUCCGUGCCAGCAGCCGCGGUAAUACGGAGGGUGCACGCGUUAUCCGGAAUCAUUGGGUUUAUAGGGUCCGCAGGCGGGCUAUCAAGUCAGAGGUGAAAUCCCACAGCUUAACUGUGGAACUGCCUUUGAAACUGAUGGUCUUGAAUUAAGUGGGCGUUGGCGGAAUAUGACAUGUAGCGGUGAAAUGCAUAGAUAUGUCAUGGAACACCGAAAGCGAAGGCAGCUAACGAUACUUAUAUUGACGCUCAUGGACGAAAGCGUGGGUAGCGAACAGGAUUAGAAACCCUUGUAGUCC
rnacentral:rRNA from 1 species